AUUGAACGCUGGCGGCAGGCCUAACACAUGCAAGUCGAGCGAGCGGCGGACGGGUGAGUAAUGUCUGGGAAACUGCCUGAUGGAGGGGGAUAACUACUGGAAACGGUAGCUAAUACCGCAUACCCUCAGAUGUGCCCAGAUUGGAGUAGCUAGUAGGUGGGGUAACGGCUCACCUAGGCGACGAUCCCUAGCUGGUCUGAGAGGAUGACCAGCCACACUGUAACUGAGACACGGUCCAGCUCCCUACGUGAGGCAGCAGUGGGGAAUAUUGCACAAUGGGCGCAAGCCUGAUGCAGCCAUGCCGCGUGUGUGAAGAAGGCCUUCGGGUUGUAAAGCACUUUCAGCGGGGAGGCGUUACCCGCAGAAGAAGCACCGGCUAACUCCGUGCCAGCAGCCGCGGUAAUAC
rnacentral:rRNA from 1 species